rnacentral:rRNA from 1 species
UACGGGGGGAGCAAGCGUUGUUCGGAUUUACUGGGCGUAAAGGGCGCGUAGGCGGCCACCGCAAGUCGGUUGUGAAAUCUCCGGGCUUAACCCGGAAAGGUCAAUCGAUACUGCGGGGCUAGAGUGCAGAAGGGGCAACUGGAAUUCUCGGUGUAGCGGUGAAAUGCGCAGAUAUCAGGAGGAACACCGGUGGCGAAGGCGGUUCUCUGGGCAUUACCUGACGCUGAGGAGCGAAAGUGUGGGGAGCGAACAGG